AUGGAAGGGCAAAUAUAUACAUACAUGAGAAAUCAAGAGGUAUUUAAUCUUGAAUACACCAUAAUAAACUUGCAUAUGAAAUGAGUAUCUUCCAUGGGACAUUCCUAGAAAACUUUAAGAAUAGAGAAACUAAUAAAACAAUUAAAGGUAGAGCCAUUACCCGAAAGGUGACUGCUGCCAGGAGCGCACCCAAAACUUUAAUCAGAGACUCAGAGUACAAAAAUAAUACAAGAAAAACUAUGGUGAGAAAAUAAAGGUAAAACAAAGGAUGUUAAAAAGUUUUAAAUCAUAAGCCAUAUAUGGCUAAAGGUUAUUAAAUCUAAAUAAAAGUAAAAUUAAAGAUGUUAAAAAGUUUAAAAUAGUCAUUCAAAAAUGGCUAAAAGAUGUAGAAUCCAUAUAAAAAUACAGCUAAAGAUGUUAAAAAGUCCCAACCCUAGGCUCAGUUUGGGAGAAGGAAAAUGGGGGAAGCAAGCUGGGAAGUAGUAGGGAUGUGUCUUGCAAAAAUACAAAGAAAGAAGCCUGAAGAGAAUGAUAUAGAGCUUCACCAUUAGGACAUGACUCUAGCAAAACAUUUAGGCCUAUUUACUUCUGUAAAGAUUUGAAACAUGUUCAACCAGAAAAAAGUCCCUAAUUCAAGAAGUGUAUAUAUCACUUCUUUCUUAAUGCAAUGUGCUUAGUUUCUAGCUUACACAAAAUUUCCUACAGGUUUGAGCCAUUUCCUAAAAGUAACCUUCUAAAACCUACGUAAAGAAACUUCAUACAUUUGUCCACCAUAAU
rnacentral:misc_RNA from 1 species